rnacentral:lncRNA from 1 species
UUUUUUUUUUUUUUGACCUGAAGUCCUUCCAUUUUUCAAUAGGGACAGGUGGUUCAUGUUAAAUGAAUACAUGAAUGCAUGUUAAUUCAUGUAUGUUAUUAAAAUGCUGCAUGGCCCAAAGUCAUUCUGUGAGCGGCAUUCAGCCACACUGCCACUGCAAGUUUGUGACCCCUGGAUUGAGCUGUCGGGGAGCAGAGGGGCCAUGAUCAUGAUUUCAGAGCACCCAACAGGAAUGCACACACCUGUGUCAGGAUCCCCAAAAGCACCCCCAGGUUCGAUCAUUGCCUAGAAGAACUCACAGGUCUCAGGACGUGGUCAUGCUCAUAGCACUGACUCAUUAGGGGGCAAGGAUACCAAGCGGUUAGCCAAGGCAGAAGGCAUCAGGGUGAAGUCCAGAGGAAAACAAGUGCGCUGCCAGGGUCCUCUCCCAGUGGACUCAUGCAGGGCGCACUUCAUUCCCCCAGCAAGGAGUUGUGACAACACAAGUGAAGGGUUGUCUUCCAGCUCUGCACCAGGGAUUGGUGGCUGGUCACACCACCCUCUGCCCUGCAUCAAAAUCUCAGGCUUGCAGAAGAAAGCAGGUGUUCAGCAUAAACCACACUGUUUGUGCAAACGGGUGAGGCGCAGUGAGCCACCCUUGUCACCUUCAGGGAAUGAUAGGAACCUUCCCCAAGUCCAAGUUCCCAGAUGCCAGCCAAGGGCAAGCAGGUCUCCUUUCUCAGAAGAGCAGUGUGGGGCCUGCUGUGUUGACUUCCUGCACACCAUAUGAUUACCUCUCCGGUAGCUGAUUCCAAGGCCCAAUUCUGACAACCUCAGGUGGCCCAUUGAGGUUUGCUGCUGGUGAGCAGCCAGUUCUGGGAGCAUCAUCGUCUAAACUCCAGAAGGCUGCUGACUUUGUCUCAAGGACAAGUUUGAUGGAGGGGAGGGAUUAGAGGGAGCAGAGGACUGGAGUGUCUGUCAGGAACAACCUGACUCCCUCACCGGCUGCCUGGGGCUGGUGGAUUUCUCCAGGAGAAAUUGAUGCUGGGAGUAUUUCUUCUCUGUGGUCAAGUUCAGCACUUCGGGCUCCCCUUGGGACUGUGUUGGGACUGGACUCUCAUGCAUGCAUCAUUGAUUCCUACAUUUGUUGAGCUCUUACUCUUCACUAGGUCCUGAGGGAUCAGAUGAGACCUUCCUCAGGCCCCAGCCCCAGCCAUUGUCUUAUCCCCUGCCCAUUUUAAGCCCCGCUUUGGAA